rnacentral:rRNA from 1 species
AUGAACGCUGGCGGCGUGCCUAAUACAUGCAAGUCGAGCGAACAGAUAAGGAGCUUGCUCCUUUGACGUUAGCGGCGGACGGGUGAGUAACACGUGGGUAACCUACCUAUAAGACUGGGAUAACUUCGGGAAACCGGAGCUAAUACCGGAUAACAUUUGGAACCGCAUGGUUCUAAAGUGAAAGAUGGUUUUGCUAUCACUUAUAGAUGGACCCGCGCCGUAUUAGCUAGUUGGUAAGGUAACGGCUUACCAAGGCAAUGAUACGUAGCCGACCUGAGAGGGUGAUCGGCCACACUGGAACUGAGACACGGUCCAGACUCCUACGGGAGGCAGCAGUAGGGAAUCUUCCGCAAUGGGCGAAAGCCUGACGGAGCAACGCCGCGUGAGUGAUGAAGGGUUUCGGCUCGUAAAACUCUGUUAUUAGGGAAGAACAAACGUGUAAGUAACUGUGCACGUCUUGACGGUACCUAAUCAGAAAGCCACGGCUAACUACGUG